UACGUAGGGCGCAAGCGUAUCCGGAAUUAUUGGGCGUAAAGAGCUCGUAGGCGGUCUGUCACGUCGGCUGUGAAAACCCGAGGCUCAACCUCGGGCCUGCAGUCGAUACGGGCAAACUAGAGUACUGCAGGGGAGACUGGAAUUCCUGGUGUAGCGGUGGAAUGCGCAGAUAUCAGGAGGAACACCGGUGGCGAAGGCGGGUCUCUGGGCAGUAACUGACGCUGAGGAGCGAAAGCGUGGGGAGCGAACAGG
rnacentral:rRNA from 1 species